rnacentral:rRNA from 1 species
UACAGAGGGGGCAAGCGUUUAUUCGGAAUUAUUGGGCGUAAAGGGCGCGUAGGCGGCCCGAUUAGUCGGCUGUGAAAGUCCAGGGCUCAACCCUGGAAAGCCGGCCGAUACUGUCGGACUAGAGUCCGGAAGAGGCAAGUGGAAUUCCCGGUGUAGCGGUGAAAUGCGCAGAUAUCAGGAAGAACACCCGUGGCGAAGGCGGCUUUCUGGGACGGUACUGACGCUGAGACGCGAAAGCGUGGGGAGCGAACAGG